UGCACAGGGAGCUUGCUCUUCGAUUCAGCGGCGGACGGGUGAGUAAUGCCUAGGAAUCUGCCUGGUAGUGGGGGACAACGUUUCGAAAGGAACGCUAAUACCGCANACGUCCUACGGGAGAAAGCAGGGGACCUUCGGGCCUUGCGCUAUCAGAUGAGCCUAGGUCGGAUUAGCUAGUUGGUGAGGUAAUGGCUCACCAAGGCGACGAUCCGUAACUGGUCUGAGAGGAUGAUCAGUCACACUGGAACUGAGACACGGUCCAGACUCCUACGGGAGGCAGCAGUGGGGAAUAUUGGACAAUGGGCGAAAGCCUGAUCCAGCCAUGCCGCGUGUGUGAAGAAGGUCUUCGGAUUGUAAAGCACUUUAAGUUGGGAGGAAGGGCAGUAAGCGAAUACCUUGCUGUUUUGACGUUACCGACAGAAUAAGCACCGGCUAACUCUGUGCCAGCAGCCGCGGUAAUACAGAGGGUGCAAGCGUUAAUCGGAAUUACUGGGCGUAAAGCGCGCGUAGGUGGUUUGUUAAGUUGGAUGUGAAAGCCCCGGGCUCAACCUGGGAACUGCAUCCNAAACUGGCAAGCUAGAGUACGGUAGAGGGUGGUGGAAUUUCCUGUGUAGCGGUGAAAUGCGUANAUAUAGGAAGGAACACCAGUGGCGANNCGACCACCUGGACUGAUACUGACACUGAGGUGCGAAAGCGUGGGGAGCAGACAGGAUUAGAUACCCUGNUAGUCCACGCCCUUAACNAUGUCAACUANCCNNUNGAAUCCUUGACAUUUUAUUGNCGCANCUAACGCAUUAACUUGAUGGCCUGGNNAGUACGGCCGCAGGGUUAAACUCAGAUGAAUUGAC
rnacentral:rRNA from 1 species